UACGGAGGGUGCGAGCGUUGUCCGGAAUCACUGGGCGUAAAGGGCGCGUAGGUGGCCUGUGGAAGUCUGCGGUGAAAGCCCGGCGCUCAACGCCGGGUCGGCCGUGGAUACUCUCGGGCUUGAGCUCACUAGAGGCAGAUGGAAUUCCGGGUGUAGCGGUGGAAUGCGUAGAGAUCCGGAAGAACACCGGUGGCGAAGGCGGUCUGCUGGGCAGUUGCUGACGCUGAUGCGCGACAGCGUGGGGAGCAAACAGG
rnacentral:rRNA from 1 species